rnacentral:rRNA from 1 species
UGACCGUCAAGGUCAUCAUGGCCCUUACGGCCUGGGCUACACACGUGCUACAAUGGUCGGUACAAAGGGUUGCCAAGCCGCGAGGUGGAGCUAAUCCAUAAAACCGGUCGUAGUCCGGAUCGCAGUCUGCAACUCGACUGCGUGAAGUCGGAAUCGCUAGUAAUCGUGAAUCAGAAUGUCACGGUGAAUACGUUCCCGGGCCUU